rnacentral:piRNA from 1 species
AAGAAAUAAAAGACCUGGACUGU